UGUAACGGAGGGAGUCGGUGACGACACCUUCCGGGACGUGUAGUGGCCAGUACUUCGCCCAUAUUCGACCAUUGGGAUACCUGAUAUCAGAUUAUGGCUGAACAACAAACAAUUAAUCAAAUAAAACUAUAUUUUAUUCACAAAUGUACAAUAAUUGCAUUAAACAAAGUCGGAAAUAAACAGGAGUCAGAAAACUUUCUAAACUGAAGUUCAAAAAUAAAGUAAUUUCAAAUGUAAAAUGAAAAAUAGAG
rnacentral:lncRNA from 1 species